AUCAUUUGGCAGCAUAUAUACUAAAAUUAGAACAAUACAGAGAAGACUAGCAUGGUCCUUGUGCAAGGAUGUCACACAAAUUUGUGAAAUGUUCCAUAUUUUU
ensembl:snRNA U6 U6 spliceosomal RNA